GAAAUUGUAACCAAAAAAAGAAGGAAAAUAAAGUCCUAAACUACUUUGGACAACAAGUCCAACUACCUUAGAAAAAGAAAAAUACUAGGAAGCAUAAACUAAGUCAUUCUUGGAAAAUAAUUAUAAAAAUCUUAAUAAAAAGAAAACAUAGCCUUAACUAACUAGGAAAGCAAUAGAUAUAGUCUGAUAAUAUAUGAAAAUAAGCCCCAAACUAAUCUUGGAUAGAAUCUUGAAAAUCUUGAAGUAAAUAUUUGCAAGCAACUUGGCACUAACUUGCACUCAACAUUUAGCUUGGUUAUUGCACCAUUAUUGGACACCAAGUAAGUCCUUUUUAUUCUAUAAAAAUGUGGCUUUAUGUAGGACUUCAUGGGUUGCAAGUUUGGACUCAUUUUAAGUGCUAAAUUGGUCCAACAGUGGCCUGAUUUUGACCUUCUUCAGAGGAUAUUUCUUGGGAUCUAAUCCACCUCUUAUUGGACAUGAAUUUGGGCCAUAAAAUAAGUAUAAUACCUAGAUAACUCAUAUCCUUUAUCCUUAAUUUCUUCCUCCCAACUAACAACUUCUUUGAUCGUUCCUGAAGUCCAAUCGCCUUGUUUUGCAACUUUUUAGCUUGAGAUCUUGUUAAAGGCCUCUUUGAAAUUUCAAAGGCUCAUCCUUGUCCUUGAAUAGAUUUGAGCUUCCUAGGAUACUAUCAUUCUCCUUGAUUGGUGCUUGGACCACAAGCUACCUCCUUUUGGACUUGGACUUGGAUCAUUGAAUGAGUGUAACACUUAGCUAAAUCCUCUCCAUAAUUCUUGAGCUCUUCUUCCACCAUUAGCGCCUUCUUAAUCUCCCAUUGAAGCCCAACACUCUUAUCUUGAUUCUCCUUAGCUUGAGACCUUGUGAAUAGCUUUCUUGGUGCUUCUAUUUAUCCUUGUCUGUGGAUCUAUCAUUCCCCUCCUUUUGAAAAGAAUUCGUCCUCAAAUUUGAACCUACAUCAAACAAGGAUAAGUCAGCAACAUUGAAAGUAGCACUUACUUAAAAUUCGCCUGGAAGGUCUAGUUUGUAAGCAUUAUCUCCAAUCCUUUCAAGUACUUUAAAUGGCCCAUCUCCUCUAGGGUGUAACUUUGUCUUCCUUUUUGAAUAAAUAUCUCCUUCCUCAUAUGAACCCAAACCAAAUCACCAUGCUCGAAGAUAACUAGUUUUCGACCUUUAUUUCUUCGUAAAGCUAUUUGUUCAUUCCCUACUUUCAAUGGCAAGUCUCGCAUGCUCAUGAAUAGCCUUUAUUAAAUCAGCUUUCUUUUUUCCAUUAAGACUAACCAUCUCAUUAGUAGGCAAAUGCAAUAAGCCACGGGGUGUAAGGGGGUUAAAGCCAUAAAAACUUCAAAAGGUGAAUAACUAGUAGAUGAAUGAACAAUUCGAUUGUUAUUCUACUAUAAGCAAGUGAUCCUCCCAAGAAUUUAAUUUUCCUUUUAGAAUAGCCCUUAACAUUUUUUUCUAAGAUUCUAUUUACUGCCUCAGGUUGCCCAUUAGUUUGUGGAUGACAUGAAGUAGAAAACACCAAUUUUGUUCCUAAUUUUUCCCAAAGCACACGCCAAAAGUGGCUUAGAAACUUAACAUCUCUAUCACUAACAAUAGUUUGAGUAUACCAUGCAAUUUAACAACUUCUCUGACAAAUAAAUCAGCAACAUAAGAAGCAUCAUUAGUCUUUAAACUAGGAAUAUAACGAGUCAUUUUGAGAACCUAUCUACCACAACAAAGAUGUUAUCUUUUCCAUACCUUUUUCUAGGUAGUCCUAACACAAAGUCUAUAGAAAUAUCAAUCCAAAGUGAAAUAUGCACAGGUAAUGGCGUGUAUAAACCAUGUGGCAAUUUAAACUACACUCAAUAAUUUUACACAUCUUUACUGCUUCCUUAUAGCCUAUAAUGUGUCUUACAUAUUUUUUUGCUUUCAGUCUUUAUUUAUGAUUAUUAGUGACUGAGUUGGAGUACUCGCUUUACUCCCUGCACCCUGAGUGCAGAUUCAGGCCCUGCUGAUCCUGUUCGCGAGGGUUGAGAGCUCCCGACAGAUUUUGGAUUCCACGAGGUAGCUGCUCGGUGUUCGCAGCCCCGUGCCUCUCCCCCUUUAUCUCAUCUCUAUCUCUAUUCAGUUAUUUUGUAAUAUUUUGGUAGACAUUUCAAACUUGUAGUGACACCCCGGUAUCGGGCCGUGUUGGGCUUGUUUCCCCAAACUGUGAUGUCACUGCUUAUAUUUCGGGGUUGUCACACCUCCUUUUUAUUACACCCCCAGAAGGGAGUAAAGGAGUUUUUCCAAUUUAAGUGACAAUCGAAACGGGAUUAUUUCAUUCAAAGGGUCGCCACUUAGGAUAAUUUAUGGUGUCCCAGUUUACCGGUUCAAAUCCCGAACCGAAAAAAGAUUGACUCUGUUUUACAGUCCGCGAACACAGAAAUCCGGGUAAGGAAUUAUGUUAACCCAGGAGAAGAUGUUAGGCAUAAUCAAGUUCUGUGAUUUUAACACGGUCGCUCAACUGUUAUUAUUGGCCUAUUUAUUUUAUUUUAAAACAUCUUUAAAACCUAUGUGCAUUUACUCUUUUUAAAUUUGUUUUAAUAUUCAAAUUAUUAUACAGCUAAUUAUUUUAAUUACACAUUGCGAAUCGUGUCACGAGAAUUGUACAAUCUACAAUGUGCUUAUUGUAUUAGCAAGAUUAAAUUAUGGCCGAAUCACAUAAAUAUACCCCCGAAUUUAUAAAUUAGGAAUCACAAUUACGUUACGGGAACCGUACCCAUAGCUAUGAUAAUUUUUUUGAUUAAAAACGCCUAAAGCAAACUACGAGAGUUCACGGCAUUUUCUACAUUAGUUAAGAUCUCGAUGUGAGUGUCAUACACUAGGUGAUUAAAUGACACGCCUCAAUUUUAUUUAAUAGAAUUCAUAUUCAACUAAAGCACGUUAUAGAUGUUCAUAUUUAAAACUAACUUUUUGAAAGAAAAAUAUCUUCGAUUCAUUGAACCGAAUGAAAUUACAGAACAGGAACUUCGGGAUGACCGAUGAAGACGGAUAGUGAUAUUAUUCAAGUCAUUCACCCAUUACACUUCAACAAAACUUGGGUAAUUAUUUGAAUUAAAGUACUAGCACAAAGUUCAUUAACUGAGAUUUUUCUCAACAUAAGAUAUGCAGACGCAAAGAAAUGCUAAAGAAAAGAAAGUUUGUUAAUGAGUUAUAAUUAGUCAAACUAAUUAAAAUUUGUUAAAACUCCUUUUCACUGAAAAUGAUUUAAAUAAGGAAAAUAAAAUUGUAAGAAGAAAUUGCAUUUUUUAUAAUUGAAAUAACUAAGAAAUUGCUUAAACACUUAAUUACAAAGUUACCAUAUCUCUGCUGCCAACCAAAAUCCAAUCCUAUUCCUGUUAUUCACACUUAUUUCAAUGGCUCAUUAACAUUUAAAAUCAGCUCCUAGUAAAAAGGAACUAAAUAGCUAGUUCUCAUGCUUUCCAUCAUAAGAACAAAACUGAAUAUCACACCAAAGGACUAUACUAGCAAGAUAAUAGCAUAGUAGAGAGAGAGAGAGAGUGGACCUUUAAACAGCUUGCUCGACAUUAAAUCUUUCCAAAACAACUUACAGUUAAUUGAGGGAUAAGAAAUCCAGCGAUGGGAACUCAACAACAAAUGUUAAAAAAGAAUUACGAACUGUACUCGAACGACGACUCGGGCUUCGAAAGCAGUAUCAUCCCAAAUCGAUGCCGGCAGACUCGAAAACAGACAUAACUUUGGGGGCGAUUUUUGAAUGUUUCCAGUUGAGUUACAGUUUCGAUUUUUGUGCUGGAUUGGAUUGGUUUUAGAUGGAGAAAAGGGGUUGCUUUGGUGGUGGUUGGCGUUGGAGAGAUUCAGGGGUCCUCAUGUAGAAGAUGAAGCAACAACUCGAUUUUGUUUUCUCGGGUUCGGCUGCUUAGGGACGCUAGGGCUAGGAAGAAGUGUUUAAGGUUGCUCGUUCUUCUGAAGGGGUCGUUGGCUGCUAUGAGGUGGUUGUUUCUCUCCUCACAUGGCUGCUUCGGGCGCUUGAAAAGAAAGGCGUUCCAGGGUGUUUGAAGUGUAUUGAGGAGGAAGAAGCUCGAGGGUCUUAUGUCUUUUUUCCUUCGGAAACGAUGGAUCCUCUCUAUAUGCAAAUGGUUCCCUUUUUUUAAUUUAUCCCACACUCCCUCUCUCUAUUCCUAAAAUCCUCUCCUCCUCUCAAACAUUUCUCCUCAAAAUCCUCAAUGAUGUCCCCCAUUUUCUCUCUCUUGGUCUUUAUGUAUGUGAGGCUAGACUAAUUGUGUGUGGGCAGAUUAUGAGUGUCUGCAUUGUGAGGAAUCUUUUUUUUCUGAGUAUUUAAACUUACUUGAUAAAAAAGAAAAGGAAUCUUAAGAAUAAAAUAAGGGAAGGUCACACGUCAAUAUGGGUGAGAAUGGAAAAAUGGGACCACUACCAACUUCAUUUGUUUCCUUUCACUUUGUCUUUCAC
rnacentral:lncRNA from 1 species